rnacentral:rRNA from 1 species
UACGAGGGGAGCUAGCGUUAUUCGGAAUUACUGGGCGUAAAGCGCACGUAGGCGGCUUUGUAAGUAAGGGGGUGAAAGCCCAGAGCUCAACUCUGGAAUAGCCUUUUAGACUGCAUCGCUUGAAUCCAGGAGAGGUGAGUGGAAUUCCGAGUGUAGAGGUGAAAUUCGUAGAUAUUCGGAAGAACACCAGUGGCGAAGGCGGCUCACUGGACUGGUAUUGACGCUGAGGUGCGAAAGCGUGGGGAGCAAACAGG